UGGGGAAUAUUGCACAAUGGGGGAAACCCUGAUGCAGCGACGCCGCGUGAACGAAGAAGGUAUUCGUAUCGUAAAGUUCUGUCCUAUGGGAAGAUAAUGACAGUACCAUAGAAGAAAGCUCCGGCUAAAUACGUGCCAGCAGCCGCGGUAAUACGUAUGGAGCGAGCGUUUUCCGGAAUUAUUGGGCGUAAAGGGUACGCAGGCGGUUUAAUAAGUCGAAUGUUAAAGAUCGGGGCUCAACCCCGCAAAGCAUUGGAAACUGAUAAACUUGGGUAGUGGAGAGGAAAGUGGAAUUCCUAGUGUAGUGGUGAAAUACGUAGAUAUUAGGAGGAAUACCAGUAGCGGAGGCGACUUUCUGGACACAAACUGACGCUGAGGUACGAAAGCGUGGGGAGCAAACAGG
rnacentral:rRNA from 1 species